rnacentral:rRNA from 1 species
CCUCCGUAGGUGAACCUGCGGAAGGAUCAUUA